CAUACGGGGGCUGCAGUGGGGAAUAUUGGACAAUGGGCGAAAGCCUGAUCCAGCCAUGCCGCGUGUGUGAAGAAGGCCUUCGGGUUGUAAAGCACUUUCAGUGGGGAAGAAAGCCUUGGGGCUAAUACCCUCGAGGAAGGACAUCACCCACAGAAGAAGCACCGGCUAACUCCGUGCCAGCAGCCGCGGUAAUACGGAGGGUGCGAGCGUUAAUCGGAAUUACUGGGCGUAAAGCGCGCGUAGGCGGUCUGAUAAGCCGGUUGUGAAAGCCCCGGGCUCAACCUGGGAACGGCAUCCGGAACUGUCAGGCUAGAGUGCAGGAGAGGAAGGUAGAAUUCCCGGUGUAGCGGUGAAAUGCGUAGAGAUCGGGAGGAAUACCAGUGGCGAAGGCGGCCUUCUGGACUGACACUGACGCUGAGGUGCGAAAGCGUGGGUAGCAAACAGGAUUAGAUACCCCUGUAGUC
rnacentral:rRNA from 1 species